GUCUAGGAUAAAUGAAAAUAAAUCAUUCUCCAAAAACUCUAGUGUUUUUAAAUAUAGGCUACAAUUAAUCAUAUAUUGGUUGACCUGGACCUGUCAUGAUAUGUAGUUAUUAUUUAGUUUUUAAUUAUCAUGAAAUGUUUUCAGAUUCUGUGAUGACUGGUAUGGAGUCAGUCCAAUUAGUGAAUUCAUGGUAUUCUGUUUUUUAGAGCUAUAGAGACAGAAAGUUUAGUUUUUAUCAUAUAUUUUUAUCAUACAUACAUUUUUACACUUUACUGACAAAUAAACCAGCAGCAUUUCAUUCCUUGAGGACCAGUGUAGGCUACUCUGAUUGAGAUAUUUUUCUGGUUUUAUAGACUGUGGAAGGACAGGUUUUUCUUCCUCAUUGGUAAUUAAGUUUACUUUAAGGUAUUUUAUGACUUUGCCAUCGACUUUUUUUAUAUGGUAUCUAACAUGGCCCAGUAUUAAUGUAUACUAUGAUACUCAGAAAAACCCAAGUCCAUUUGAAAGACGAUCACAGGUUGUGUCAUGAAUAAAUUAGAUGGGAUCAUUUAGGCUUUGAGACUAUUUCUCCCGGACCAUUUGAUUCACGUGAAUAAAGAGAGCUAUCACUUGGUGUAGAGUCAGUGCGUCAUCUUGACAGGCCAGAUCAGGCUGUAACUCCUCGCGCAAGCCCUUUCGAUAAACCGUGAGGAGUACCUUAUCAUUCCACCCACUGCUUGCCGCCAGUGUGCAGAACUUUAUGGAGUAAUCGGGUGCGGUAGCGUUGCCCUGCAUACAUUUUAACAGCGUCUCGCCCGUCUCCUCGCCUUCCAGGGGGUGGUUACAGACUCGUCGGAAAUGCUCCAGGAACAGCUGGUAAUUGCGGGUCUCCUCGCCCACCCGUUCCCACACAGCGGUUGCCCUGCCUGUGAACAACGAGAUCACGAAGGCCACUUGAGCUGCUCCAGAGGGGUACGACGCACCCUCCUGGAGACCUGGAUGAAUAAUCCAACGUGAGACUUGGUGCCACUCCUGUAGACUAAGAUGUGUCUCUCUGCUCUGACUUGGCUGAUGCUGAUAUGUUUGUGGACGGUGAUUGUCAGGAUACAAGAAGAUGAGAGCUGUGACAAGUGUCUGUUCUAUACUUACCAUGAUGGAUCUAUCAGAGGAAGGAACUGUCUACAAGAUACCGUAGUGACCUGGUAUGAAUCAGUGCAAUUAGCCUUGGAAAACUCUACUACGGACAAUGUCACCCAUCCCAAUGGAACUGUUACUGUCACCAUAACUUCCACGGUGGCAGUUCCCCGUCUACCUGACAAUGACACCAUGGUUAGGUGUUUGCUGUCAUCCAGCUACAUCAUCAAGGAUGGUUCCAUAAAGAUUACAACGUCCAACUACACCUCCAGUCUCCAAUGAUGGUUGGUUAAGAAGUCAUGGGACAGUGUUUGGAAUAGCGAUUGGUUUGCGGUUCUCAUUGCUUUAAUCUGCAGUGUAGUUUGGUGGCUAACACAAG